rnacentral:sRNA from 1 species
GGUCAACAUUUGCCAAAGCAAAACCUGAAAUUCCAUGGACAUCUCUGACUCGGAAGGGGCUUGUUCGAGUUGUAUUUUUUCCAUUGUUCAGCAAUUGGUGGAUUCAGGUUACCUCUUUAAGAAUCUUUGUUUGGCUGUUACUACUUUAUUUCAUGCAAGUUAUAGCAAUUGUCUUAUAUUUGAUGAUGCCUAUUGUGAACAUAAGUGAAGUACUUGGACCCUUGUGCCUUAUGCUACUCAUGGGAACUGUCCACUGUCAAAUUGUGUCUACUCAGAUAACAAGACCAUCAGGAAACAAUGGAAAUCGAAGAAGAAGAGUUUCGCUCUUGUUGCCCAGGCUGGAGUGCAAUGGUGCGAUCCGCAAUCUCGGCUCACUGCAACCGAUACCUCCCGAGUUCAAGCGAUUCUCCUGCCUCAGCCUCCCAAGUAGCUGGGAUUACAAGCGUAUGCCACCACACCCAGCUAAUUUUUUUUUUUGAAUUUAGUAGAGACGGGAUUUCACCAUGUUAAUCAGGCUGAUCUAGAACUCCUGACCUCAGGUGAUCCACCUGCCUCGGUCUCCCAAAGGGCUGGGAUUACAGGCGUGAGCCACUGUGCCCAGCCGUCUAAACUUUUAAUAAGGAUUUAUUUGGCUUUUCUUUACAAAUUGAAUUCAUGUUAUAUUUUAAUCGAUUAUAUGGUAUAUGUGAGUUUUGGAACUGUUGAAAUGUUCUUAGGUAUAUGCAGUGUUAUUUUCCAAAAGUUAUGUUAUCUUCCCUCAGAAUAUCUGUAGAUUUUUGCCUGCGUAAGCAAUUACUAAAUAAGAAUUUUCCAUUAGGUGCAAUGAAUUUCAACAUAUUCUUAUUUUUGAAUGUUAUUUUAAAAACUUUUUAAAAAAGAUUUCUUGUAAAUUCAGUUAAAUUAAUGGAAUGUUUUCUAAGGAAAUAAAAUGCUAUGCUAUGUCUUAUUGA